CGCCCACAGCCCGGCCCGAGUCGCGGGGCCCGAGCGACAGCGACGGCGCCGGCCGGGGCCGCGGCGCGCGGAAGCCACUUUGCACGGUCAGCGCCGGGCACAAGUUUGUUCCGCGGCUCCCGGGGGCCUGGGCGCUGAGGGAGAAUCGCGCUGAGGGGGCCAGGAGGAGGGGGAGAGGGAGGCGCCGAAGGGCACAAGAGUGGGGAAAAGUGCGGAAAGAAGCAACAGCCGCUCCACCCGGGACCAGAAAAGUGGCCAGUGCGUCCCGGCCGCCCGCCCUGCGCCGGGGAUGCGGCGGCGUCGGCGCCGGCUAACGGUCCAGGGAGGCGGCAGGGGCGGCGGGAGCCGCUAGGCGGAGAGAGACCAGGGACGCCUGGUUUCCCCCCAAGCGAACCGGGAUGGGAAGUGACUUCAAUGAGAUUGAACUUCAGCUGGAUUGAAAGAGAGGCUAGAAGUUCCGCUUGCCAGCAGCCUCCUUAGUAGAGCGGAAUGAGUAAUACCCACACGGUGCUUGUCUCACUUCCCCAUCCGCACCCGGCCCUCACCUGCUGUCACCUCGGCCUCCCACACCCGGUCCGCGCUCCCCGCCCUCUUCCUCGCGUAGAACCGUGGGAUCCUAGGUGGCAGGACUCAGAGCUAAGGUAUCCACAGGCCAUGAAUUCCUUCCUAAAUGAGCGGUCAUCGCCGUGCAGGACCUUAAGGCAAGAAGCAUCGGCUGACAGAUGUGAUCUCUGAACCUGAUAGAUUGCUGAUUUUAUCUUAUUUUAUCCUUGACUUGGUACAAGUUUUGGGAUUUCUGAAAAGACCAUACAGAUAACCACAAAUAUCAAGAAAGUCGUCUUCAGUAUUAAGUAGAAUUUAGAUUUAGGUUUCCUUCCUGCUUCCCACCUCCUUCGAAUAAGGAAACGUCUUUGGGACCAACUUUAUGGAAUAAAUAAGCUGAGCUGUAUUUCAAGUAAUAUAGUUAUAAAUUAACAAUGUAGCAGUUAUUGAUAGAGAAAUUGAGAAAACUGAAACGUGACCGGAGUAUUGGAAAUAACGUAGUACAUCACCUAGCACAAUGACACAUAGUAGGUGCUCAAUAAAUUUAUGCUUAUAAUUUUUGUCACUUCUAUGGCAGGAUUUUUUUAUUAGGUUAAAAUUAUCUUUUAAACACCUUCCGGAAUUUUAGAAUAUUCAUUAAUAAUGUCUUCAAACCUUUCAACUGAAAUAAAUUUACAGCUGAAGUCUGAUGAUUUAAAGUUAGAAAGUUUAAUCUUGAAUAUAAAUGAACAUUUUCUCUCCCACAUUUUCUUGGGCAUUUUGAGAAGUAAAUGCGUUAUUUAUUGGUCCAUGAAAUGUGACUGUAAAUAUUCUUUGCUAUACAUUAUGUCUAUAUAUCUGCAUUCAUCCUCAAUGCCAAAACUAGAAUCAUUAGUCUUAAUGAUCAUUUUAAGUACAGGCAGUCCUCGCUUUCCUUGAUACCAUGUUAACCGAAACUUGUGUAUGUCAACACGGUGUCCUUGCUUUGCUUGGUUAAGUGUGAGUUCUUCCUCCCUUUUUUUAAGAGUUGUACAAUGUUUUUCAGUCGCCUACCGAAUCAGGUCAUAGACUAUGGAAUUGACCCCACCCCACCAACAUUUUUACAGCUACCCUGAUUUCUGACCAGAAAGGAAAAAAAAACUUUCCAGCUCUAUCACACAUUUUACCUACUCUUAAACUUAGGAGGUAUUACAAAUAGCAUUUUCUCAUGUUCUCUUUCUGGCCUGUACCUCCCUGCUAAGCUUCCUUCAGUGUUCAUCCUCACCUCAUAGAGAGAUGAAGUGAAGAGACAAACAGAAGUCAUUUUCUUCCUUACUUUAGUGGUUUCUGGUUUAGUUAGUUUGGGCCAAACUGUGGACAAGUACCUUUUCAGGUAACUUUUUUUUCUUAUUUCUAUGUCCUCAACACCUAGUGGAGUACGUAGCCAAUAGUAGAUGCUUAAUAAACAUUUCUUAAAUUAAUAUUGUUGACCUUUUCUGACCCUGUUCUUGACAGUAAGGUACAUAAUCUGCCUUCAUCCCUUUAGUCCUUAGGAACAGAUAAAGUCAUGGAUAUGAAAGUGAUCACUGUCAUUAAUAUCCACAUUAAAAUUGCUCUUGAUUUUAGUUUCUCCAUAAUCAUUUUCCCUAAACAAUGAACUCUGUUCACCUUUUUUUUUAAAAUAUGCACAGUGAAUAUUACUGGUAGCCCAAAUCUUCUAACAUAAAAUUUCCAUUUUGUAAAAGCUUCUGAUAAGCAUAUAUGUUAUGAAUUGAAUGUUUGAUUAUUAUACUUUAAUAUUCUUGAAAAUAUUGAUACCUGGACUGGAAAGAAAACAGACAAAAGUAAAUCUCAGAAUAAAUUACUGCUUUAAACAUGAAAAAAAAAAAAAAAAAAAA
rnacentral:lncRNA from 1 species